rnacentral:rRNA from 2 species
UUGACCUCGGAUCAGGUAAGGG